GUUUGUGGUUAAGAUAUUUCUUCAUUUUAAAAAUUGACUUUAUUCAACCGUAGACAGUCACACACAUCAAAAUACAUGGUUCCUGCUGAUAGAGUCUGUAUAGUUAUCAGAUUUUCUGUGCGAUGGCUCCAUACAAG
rnacentral:snoRNA from 1 species